AUUGAACGCUGGCGGAAUGCUUUACACAUGCAAGUCGAACGGCAGCACGGGGGCAACCCUGGUGGCGAGUGGCGAACGGGUGAGUAAUACAUCGGAACGUGCCCAGUCGUGGGGGAUAACGUAGCGAAAGUUACGCUAAUACCGCAUACGAUCUACGGAUGAAAGCGGGGGAUCGCAAGACCUCGCGCGAUUGGAGCGGCCGAUGUCAGAUUAGGUUGUUGGUGAGGUAAAGGCUCACCAAGCCGACGAUCUGUAGCUGGUCUGAGAGGACGACCAGCCACACUGGGACUGAGACACGGCCCAGACUCCUACGGGAGGCAGCAGUGGGGAAUUUUGGACAAUGGACGAAAGUCUGAUCCAGCCAUUCCGCGUGCAGGACGAAGGCCUUCGGGUUGUAAACUGCUUUUGUACGGAACGAAAAAGCCUUGGCUAAUACCCAGGGUCCAUGACGGUACCGUAAGAAUAAGCACCGGCUAACUACGUGCCAGCAGCCGCGGUAAUACGUAGGGUGCGAGCGUUAAUCGGAAUUACUGGGCGUAAAGCGUGCGCAGGCGGUUUUGUAAGACAGAGGUGAAAUCCCCGGGCUCAACCUGGGAACUGCCUUUGUGACUGCAAGGCUAGAGUGCGGCAGAGGGGGAUGGAAUUCCGCGUGUAGCAGUGAAAUGCGUAGAUAUGCGGAGGAACACCGAUGGCGAAGGC
rnacentral:rRNA from 1 species